rnacentral:rRNA from 1 species
UACGUAGGGGGCAAGCGUUGUCCGGAAUCAUUGGGCGUAAAGAGCGUGUAGGCGGCUCGGUAAGUCCGCUGUGAAAGUCCAGGGCUCAACCCUGGAAUGCCGGUGGAAACUGUCGAGCUCGAGUCCGGAAGAGGCGAGUGGAAUUCCUGGUGUAGCGGUGAAAUGCGCAGAUAUCAGGAGGAACACCAAUGGCGAAGGCAGCUCGCUGGGACGGUACUGACGCUGAGACGCGAAAGCGUGGGGAUCAAACAGG